UACGAAGGGUGCAAGCGUUACUCGGAAUUACUGGGCGUAAAGCGUGCGUAGGUGGUUCGUUAAGUCUGAUGUGAAAGCCCUGGGCUCAACCUGGGAAUGGCAUUGGAAACUGGCGACCUAGAGUGCGGUAGAGGGUAGUGGAAUUCCCGGUGUAGCAGUGAAAUGCGUAGAGAUCGGGAGGAACAUCUGUGGCGAAGGCGGCUCUCUGGAACGGUACUGACGCUGAGACGCGAAAGCGUGGGGAGCGAACAGG
rnacentral:rRNA from 1 species